GACGAACGCUGGCGGCGUGCUUAACACAUGCAAGUCGAACGAUGAACCCGGAGCUUGCUCCGGUGGAUUAGUGGCGAACGGGUGAGUAACACGUGAGUAACCUGCCCUUGACUCUGGGAUAACUGCGGGAAACUGUAGCUAAUACCGGAUACGACCCUCGGCGGCAUCGCCAGGGGUUGGAAAGAAUUUCGGUCAAGGAUGGACUCGCGGCCUAUCAGCUAGUUGGUGAGGUAACGGCUCACCAAGGCGACGACGGGUAGCCGGCCUGAGAGGGUGACCGGCCACACUGGGACUGAGACACGGCCCAGACUCCUACGGGAGGCAGCAGUGGGGAAUAUUGAACAAUGGGCGCAAGCCUGAUGCAGCAACGCCGCGUGAGGGAUGACGGCCUUCGGGUCGUAAAGCUCUGUCGCAGGGGAAUAACACAAUGAAGGUACCCUGUAAGAAAGGAUCGGCUAACUUCGUGCCAGCAGCCGCCGUAA
rnacentral:rRNA from 1 species